GGGGAUUUAGCUCAGUGGCAUAAGCACCUGCCUUGCAAGCAGGUGGUCGUGAGUUCCAUCCCUG
rnacentral:tRNA from 1 species